rnacentral:rRNA from 1 species
AUGGUCCCAACUAAGAAACCUGGACACUAUAUCUCUAAGUGUCCACAGUGGGACAAUGAGAAGAAGAAGAAGAGCAAAGAAUAUGAUUCUGAUGACAAGAAGAAGAAGAAAUCUUCAAAGUCUUCUUCUAGGUCCUCAUCAAGGUCUUCAUCUCAUAAGAAGAGCUCAUCUGGCAAGGCUCGUGCUUUUGUUGGCAAGGAAAUGGAUUCAGAGGAGGAAUCUGCUUCUGAGGAGGCGGAGGUGGAGUCUGAAGAGGAGUCCGACCCUGCCGUUGCAAGUCUGGCUCUAGCCACAGCCUAUGUUGCCAAGUCCAUCUUCAACACUGAGGACAAUGACUUCCACACCAACGCUGAAGCUGAUGACAAGGACGAUCCUGCUCCCACCUACUGCUUCAUGGCACGUGGUGCCAAGGUAAAAUCACGUGAUGCUUACUUUCAAACAUCAAGUGAAGAUGACUCUGAUUGUGAAUCCAAACCCAGCUACAAAACACUUGCUAAAAUUGCAACUGAACAACAAAAAGCUAUGGAACAUACUCAAAAACUGUUAGACAAAAGCGAUGACCUGUUGGACGCGGAAAUGACACGUUCACAAUCCUUAGUUGAAGACAUAAAAAAUCUUCAUGCUAAGUACCAAGAACUUGAAAGUCUUCAUGAGAUGCUCUCAACCACUUAUGAAAAGCUCUCCUAUGAUUAUCUUCAAAGGAAGCAAGAGCUUGAGAAAUUGAGAGCGGCUCAUGAAGAUCUUCAAAAGGAGAAUAAGUCACUUCGCGCUCAACAGAUCAGUCCCGCUCUAGAUAGAUUUGAA